UACGAAGGGGGGCUAGCGUUGCUCGGAAUGACUGGGCGUAAAGGGCGCGUAGGCGGCUUGCACCGUCGGAUGUGAAAUUCCUGGGCUUAACCUGGGGGGCUGCAUUCGAUACGUGUGGGCUUGAGUGCGGAAGAGGGUCGUGGAAUUCCCAGUGUAGAGGUGAAAUUCGUAGAUAUUGGGGAAGAACACCGGUGGCGAAGGCGGCGACCUGGUCCGUGACUGACGCUGAGGCGCGAAAGCGUGGGGAGCAAACAGG
rnacentral:rRNA from 1 species